rnacentral:rRNA from 1 species
GAUGAACGCUAGCUACAGGCUUAACACAUGCAAGUCGAGGGGCAGCAUGACGGAAGCUUGCUUCCGUUGAUGGCGACCGGCGCACGGGUGAGUAACGCGUAUCCAACCUGCCCUUGUCCAUCGGAUAACCCGUCGAAAGGCGGACUAACACGAUAUGCAGUUCUCAGCAGGCAUCUAACGAGAACGAAAUGUGAAGGAGAAGGAUGGGGAUGCGUCUGAUUAGCUUGUUGGAGGGGUAACGGCCCACCAAGGCGACGAUCAGUAGGGGUUCUGCGGGGAAGGUCCCCACAAGUGGAACUGAGACACGGUCCAAACUCCUACGGGAGGCAGCAGUGAGGAAUAUUGGUCAAUGGGCGAGAGCCUGAACCAGCCAAGUAGCGUGCAGGAUGACGGCCCUAUGGGUUGUAAACUGCUUUUAUACGGGGAUAAAGUGGGCCACGUGUGGCUUAUUGCAGGUACCGUAUGAAUAAGGACCGGCUAAUUCCGUGCCAGCAGCCGCCGUAA